AGAGGGACCUUUGAGAUCAACCUAGAACAGCAGCUGCUGCUGGCCCUUGAAGGCUCAGGCUGCUGCAGGAGACUGGUCAGUUGCAAGGGUGAGAGUUACAGCUUCUCACAUCAGGGUCCUGCAAACUUGUCUCCCCACUGGGAAGGAGCCUUUUGUCUAGGAGUUUCCCAACCCUGCCUAUCCUCUGGCAUUACUGUUUGGAAUUAUGUGAUGUCAUGAGCAGAUUUCCCACAAGAGGGACUGGGGAGUGUUUGACUUUCUGGUGAUCGACUGGACCCUGUUGCUUUGAGAGUGCAGGAGUGAUUGUUGCAGCUCCCUUUGGUCAGAGACUUGUGGCUUCAGCGGAAACGUUGAAGUCUCCAUCUGAGCCCAGUGGCCAUUCACAGUAAUACUUGUCUCCAUAUAAGCAAACAUGGCGUUGUUUUCUGGAUGCCAGAACUGACCAGUACCUAUCACCUAACAAAUCAGAAGACAUUUAGGGUCAAAAAAGAUUGUCCCCAACUGCCCUGUACUUUGCUGUUGGAUCGUGACAUGCCCCUGCCCCCAUGUCCCUGUGUGGUUUGGAAAUACUCCCUUAGGAAGAAUUCACUGCUGCCAGUUUCUGUGGCUUCUAACAAGCCAGGUCUCUGGGUUCAAGAGGUCAUCAUAGAGAACAAGGCUCUUCCUCCACCUGCCAGUAAGUGUUGAGGACUGAGUGGGGCACAGAAUGCCCGCCGGAGUUACUUCAGUUGCUGUGCCAGUGACCUGGGGCCCAUUCACGCUGCCCUUUACUGGUCAGCAUCACUCACCCACCCAGGAAGGCAUCUGCUCACCUCCACUCGGGAAGGCUCCUGGCCAACCUGUUCAUCUCCACUGCAGAGUAGCCACUAGGGGGCGAGCGUGCAGACCCUUGCUUCAGACCUCAGCGGGCUUCUCUCUGAAGAACAGGACUCCCAGCUCCUUUUGUUACAGUUGCCUUGCAAAGAAAAGGAAAAGUGGACCAUGGAGAAAAGAAAGGGCAGAAGUCAGACUGUUCUUAUCUAAAAGAUGAUCACUCUGUUAGAUUUUUUAAAACUUUCUUUCUCUCCUUAAAGCAUAGGUUACUAACUGUAAUGUUACUUGUUCUCUAAGCAUAUAUAUAUAUGAGAUUUUAAUGUAGUUAGGAGUCUGUGUCUGAUGGACACAGCGUGUCCUUCUGGUGUAUGCUCAUUUGCAGGCUGUCUAUGCUGGUAGACAGUCUCCUGGACCAGAACCAAGUCUAUCAGGGAAACGAAGAGCAAAGGUCGCUUUUAAACUGAAUCACUGAUGUUGCUGCUGUUAGGAAGUUAGAUGGAAGGAUCCGUGUCUAUGACGCCUGAGGGAGGGUGACUUGUGUGACACACUAAACCCUGCGAUGGCUUGUGUUUUAACUCAAACAAAACUGGUUUAGAAAGUCUUUGCUUUGCAAAUAUCAAAUGUUAGCAUGAGCCAAACUGGACCGCUCCUCCAUCAGCUGCUCCCUGUAAGGAGGCCUCAUUAGGAAGCCAGGGAAAGUAAGGUUGGAGCAGUCACUGGGCCCUCCGUACUGUAAGGCCCACGAUUCGAUCAGAAUCUGAGCAUUUGGGGGCUUGAUGUUCUAGUUCCAUAAAGCUUCAAAGCUCUGAAGGAGAAAGGGUUUUAUGGCAGGACCUGAUCAUGAGAUGUUUGUGGUUGCUAUAGUAGCAGGAAAGUUACGACAACUAACCUUUAAGGAAACUAUUAAGAUAAUUUUUUUUUAAAUUUCAAAGCACUCAUUUAAACAAAAAACCUACAAGGAAAACAUAACAAAUUACAGAAAAGUGAGUGCUGAUUAAAACGAAUUAGCCUCCCCUUCCUUCACAUCUCUAUCCUCUUCCUCCCAAGCAGAUAAAGCCUCAUGACUGUCCCCGCCAGUGCUCAGGCCUUGCGGCUUCUGGGAGGCUACCCUGGGAGUCAGUCAGCUCUCAGGCCCAGACUGCAGGGGCCAGUCAGUCUCUGCACAAGGCUAGGCAGGAGCACGGGCCAGACUGCUUCUGAGCAGGCCCUGAACUCCAUCCAUAAAUGAGAAACUUGGUGAGGUGAGGCUGAAGGUUCCUCAACUAAGAAAACAUUAAUUUUUCCCUUCAGCUAUGUGGAAUUUGCAUAUCUAUUAAUUUUUCAAUUUUUUAAAAUUUUGGUUAGAUGAAGGAAUGAAUGAUUGUGAAAGGUGUUUGGGGUCUAAAAACAUGAUUUUUCCUGGUAUAUAUGUCAAAGCAUAGACUUUGUUAUCUGCUGCUUCCUGUCUAACUUACAGGGAUAUUUAAUUUUGUAAGGUAUUGUAUAUCUAUACAGCUGUAAUGAAUUGCACACUGGACUGAGAGGCAAAGUUCUGCCCUGUGUGGCUCCUGCUGGGACUCGUGCGCUUUCCUCUUGGGUGCUGUACGUUGGCUCUUCUGAACAAUACCAGGGGCACGUGGUCUGUUUAGUGUGCGUCUGUCACUCUUCAUUUGGGUUCCUUUUGGAAACUGUAGUCUUUAACUUGCUCUGUGAGGAGAAAGGAAUAAUUCUGUUGCUGCUCCUGGAAGGUCCGCCGAAUGCAUUUGAGCGAAACUGUGGCGCUGUGCACUGCAGCCAUCUGCCACAGCCUGUGCUCCACCAUGAGUAAGACCACAGCCAUGGAGCAAGGCAGAGUCGUCAGCUGGGGGACUGCUGCUGUCACUGUUCAAAAGGCCAUUUAUGAGCUCAAAAAAAAUAAAUCUUAAGAGCGCCCCUAAUUACUUAAAAAUGGAAAUUUAAGAAAUGUCUUUAAGACUUGAUACAGAGCUGGUGUUAAAUUCUCACAGCAGAGGUUAGGGGGUUGCUCAACGGUAGAGCACUUGGCAGUUCUAUGUGAUGCCUUCGGUUCAGUCACAGUCCUGCAGAUCAGAGAGCCUCACGGUAGACGGCCGCUCAGACAGACAGUCAGGCAGAGGCAGGUGCCAACCCUGGAUGUUGUCCGUCCAUUGUCAUGUCGUCAGUUGACCCUUCUCAUGCUGUCUAUUCAGGCAUCAGCUCACCUGAGGGAUCCACCAGCUUCCUCACGUCUAAGCAUUGUCGUAGACUUUGUGGCUCUGACAUACUUGUCUGUUGAGAGUCCAGUCUCUCGUCAUCCUCCCCAUGCUAUAACAGAAUCCAUGAAGCAUAAGUGGCCUUUUUGAACCAAGACUUUGCAAACUGAUCUCUCCCCAGGGAAGGAGUUGAGCACAAGCAACAAUGUACAUUAUUAAUUCUGGAUUCACUCUCAUGUUUUAUUUUGUAAAUAUUAAUGUUUGGAGCUUGAGUAUACAAAAUGUAAAUACAGUUCUUGUAUUUGUACUAACCCUGAUUCUUUUGCUGUAUAGCCCUGGAUGUGUAAUGCAGACAUUAUCUAACUGUGUGUGGUAACCUUGCAUCACAGAACUGCUAGUGAACGAGGUAAAAAUAAUAAAGGUACAACCAGUGCAUCGCA
rnacentral:lncRNA from 1 species